rnacentral:piRNA from 1 species
UCCCAUGUUGCCAAAACAAUUCCUCAGUGU